AACGACUUAGCGAAACGCUGCGGGAGACCUUCGGAUUCGACGCGAGGAAGCCACGUCUCGUGGCUCUUGUAGCAUAGGAACACGUGGCGACCGUACGGAGCGACGGAGCCGGCAAGGGCGCCACUGUACAUCUCCUGGCGUUUAAAGCCGUAGAGCUCGUCUUCCGAGGCCGGAACGGCGUUGAUGUUCUCCACUACUUCCCCCAUUGAAGAGUACCUCGUCUUCUUCCUUAGGGUUUUGUUAUUUUCGUUAGCUUUUAAUUAUUUUCGAAAAGUUAAAAAAAAAAAAAAAAGUUUUGUUUAUAUCGUUUUCUUAAAAUCUGAACAACCGUCGCUCGUCCCAUACCCAUGCGAAAUGGGCCUCGAAUAAAGUGACUGGUCGGUGAUGGAAGCCUUUAUCGUCCGUCAAACUGUAUCGCUGACCGACUGUUCCUUUAGUUAAACCACGACUUUUGAUUGCUUUGAUCAAUUAGGAACACCACACGUUUUAAAUGUAUGUUUGCAAGCUAAUUGUGUCAUUUAGGUCUGGACAUAUGUACCAAAACCCGAAAAAAUGGAAUUCGAAAUCGACCUAUUGUUUACAAAUAUUUGAACAGUUUUUUCUAUUAUUUCUAUAAAAAAAUUGAAACCGAAUAGAAGACCAAAUAAAUAUCUGAAUAUCUAACAUACAUUUUAUAAAUUUAAAAUAUUUUUUUUUAAAUUACUAAAUAUUAUAAAAUAACUUAUAAAAAAGGGAAAAUUGGUUUUUUAGGCCAAAAUGAUAACUAUGUCCUAUUAGGUUAAUUUUUUUUGUACUACUUUUUCUUUUAAUGCCAUUUAGUAUUUUCUAAAAUAAAUCAAAUAAAUAGUUUUACAAACAAAAAAAGUUCAAAAAUAGUAACUACUGAUGAAAUACUGAUAUCAAUUUAUUGGUAGUUUUUUUAGUUCUAAAAAUGUUAAAAUCAUAAUUUCAUAUUUUGUUCUGCAUAAUAGAAAAUGUAAUCCACUUUUUCAUUGAAUCUAAUAUGUUUAGAAUAUGUGAUCUACGUAAAUAACAGUAAUCUAAAAAUAUUUGGAAAAUACAUUCCACGCUUAACCUAUCGUUGUAAAAUCUGUAGAAUCCGAAAUCUACACAUUAUUAUAAAUCUAAAACCUAUAGAAAUCGGAAUCUACACAUUACUAUAAAUCUAGUAGAAGUCGAUUUCAAAUAUGUCUAUUGUGUUCUACAUAUAGUAGAAUACAUAUUCUAUGGAUAAGGAUAAUCAGUUGGAGAAUAUUUGGAAAUAUCCAGUUUCUUCAUAUUUAUUAAAUCGAUUUUUU